GAUGAACGCUGGCGGCGUGCCUAAUACAUGCAAGUCGAGCGAGCAGACGAGGAGCUUGCUCCUCUGACGUUAGCGGCGGACGGGUGAGUAACACGUGGAUAACCUACCUAUAAGACUGGGAUAACCUCGGGAAACCGGAGCUAAUACCGGAUAAUAUAUUGAACCGCAUGGUUCAAUAGUGAAAGACGGUUUUGCUGUCACUUAUAGAUGGAUCCGCGCCGCAUUAGCUAGUUGGUAAGGUAACGGCUUACCAAGGCAACGAUGCGUAGCCGACCUGAGAGGGUGAUCGGCCACACUGGAACUGAGACACGGUCCAGACUCCUACGGGAGGCAGCAGUAGGGAAUCUUCCGCAAUGGGCGAAAGCCUGACGGAGCAACGCCGCGUGAGUGAUGAGGGUCUUCGGAUCGUAAAACUCUGUUAUUAGGGAAGAACAAAUGUGUAAGUAACUAUGCACGUCUUGACGGUACCUAAUCAGAAAGCCACGGCUAACUACGUG
rnacentral:rRNA from 1 species